GGUGAACCUGCCGAUGGAUCAUUACGCGUUAUUUUAUAAACUUUACACAACACUGCGUCUAUUACGCCGUUGUAAUAUUUUUAUAGUUAUAACACACACUGCUCUGUGUGACUGUCCUGUACGCAUAUUCACGUAUGUGUCGGUACUGAAUACAGGCGACCAACCUUAAAACAAGUAUGCCUGCAGACUUUAGAUCUCAGGCGAACAAACCCCCUUUUAUCUAGAUCAAAUAAUUCAAUUCAGCUCUACGGAGUCUAACACAAUCAAAUUUUUUGAUAUAAAUAUUUUUUUUUUUUCUCUCUGCCGCAUGUUUUAUUACGCGCAGCGGAUUGGAAUAAAUUUAUUUAUUUUCACAUAGAUUAUUAUGUAGACAACACACACACAUUAUACACUGCAUGAGCGAUGGAUCUCUUGGUUCCUUGCAUCGUUGAAGGUCGCAGCGAAUUGCGAAAUGUUGGUCGUGUGAAUUGCAAGACACAUUGGCCCUUUUCGGGCUGCGGAACACCUUACUCACUGAACGUUUAUAUCGCUUAGCAGAUUAAUCUUCGUGUUCGCACGUAGACUGCAGCGCGCUCGGUUGAGAGUGCUUUAUAUGUUUACAUGCAUUUACUUGCAUCUUACACAUAUUUUUUUCUUUGCUGCGUCUUUUUUAUGCGUCUCACAACGCAUUUUGGCCGCAGCAUAGAAACCUUUCUAAAUUUUCUCCUGUAAACAGUGUUACGCUUUAUACACACACACAAAGCUAGUACUGCGGAAGGUAUUUCUUAAUUGCUAAUAUUUUCCAUCGCGUCAAAAAUUUAUAUUUUUUACCGUGUGCAAGUAUGAUUCACAUACAGAAAGUAUACAUCACACCGUCUGUUUACCAUUAGUUUGAUAAAUUUGUGUGCCUGAUACCGUACUUUUUUGUAUGCCGAAUUGGCGACUUCGCACAAUUAAUUUAGCGGUAAGUAAUUUUGAUGCAACCCAUUCCUAAGGCACAUCAGCUCGAGUGAG
rnacentral:misc_RNA from 1 species